rnacentral:pre_miRNA from 1 species
CACCGCUAUUAGUUGAAGCUGCCAACAUGAUCUGAGCUUUCCUUAAUUUUCCUAUACAGGAAAGACUAGAUCAUGUGGCAGUUUCACCUAUUGAUGGU